UACAGAGGUCUCAAGCGUUGUUCGGAUUCAUUGGGCGUAAAGGGCGCGUAGGCUGCGGGGUAAGUCGGGUGUGAAACCUCAGAGCUCAACUCUGAAACUGCACUCGAUACUGCUCUGCUUGAGGACUGGAGAGGAGAUUGGAAUUCACGGUGUAGCAGUGAAAUGCGUAGAUAUCGUGAGGAAGACCAGUGGCGAAGGCGGCACUCUGGGCCGAUACUGACACUGAGGAGCGAAAGCGUGGGGAGCGAACAGG
rnacentral:rRNA from 1 species